CACCACCCAUCACUCUUACAGAUUGAAUGGUCCAGUGAUGUAUUUGAAUCGUGACAACGUGGGCAGUUCACCGCUUGCGACAUCAUGAGAAGACCAUUAAACCUUAUCAUUUAGAUGAAGGAGAAGUCAUAACAAGGUUUUCAUAAGUGAAUCUUCAGAAG
rnacentral:ncRNA from 1 species